rnacentral:rRNA from 1 species
AAGGCGCUAUGCGUCGUAAACUUCUUUUGAACAGGAGAAACCCCUCGUACGUGUACGGGGCUGAUAGUACUGUUAGAACUAAGGGUCGGCUAACUUCGUGC